CCUAGUUCUGUUUAGAGUUUGUUUAUCCAUCAUAAUAGGUAUCCCCACAUUACUAGUUAUCAUACUCAACCCCUUAGCAUUCCACAUAUAAAGAGGAACAUUCCUUAAAUUCAACCAUAUAGGAAUAGUUCUCAACUCUUCCAUAUCCUUUUCAAUAGUUUUAGACCAAGGUCGAAUAAUGAAUAAACGAUUUAGAAUAUAAAUUGACCCAUGUUCAAGUGCUUUAACACGGUCCUCUUCAUUAUCAAACUCAAACAAGAACAAACUAUCACCAUUAAUGGUUAUCUGCAAGUUACAUGUAGGUUUCCAGGCUUUGAGAGCAGCAUUACGAACCACAUAAUAAGAAAGUCUUCUUCCAACAAAAACCCCUGCUACCAAAUCCUCACAUCUACGAAUCUCUUCUUUAAACACUGAUGAAGAUACUGGAGUAAUCCUCUCACCAUCAACCAUUUGAGGAGAAAAAAAUUUCAUCGAAGCUUCAGGAUUCAAUUCUUGUUUCUACGGGAAGAGAGUAGAAGCCCAAGCUUUAGACACGGGCUUACUAAGAGUAAACUCUUCAAAACCAGGAGGAAUCAAACAAUCACAAACUGAGUCACUAACAUGAUUAAUUAGAUCUAGAAACAUCUCCCCUAACAGGUUUCUCUAUCCUCUGGGAAGAAGAAGACAGAGGCGGAUUUGAUUUUGAGACUAUCAUACUUGAAAUCAAUCAUAAAUCUGAGCAAAACGAACCGGAGAUUUGAGAGAAAAAUUGGAUCGAAAAUGAGAACGACGAAGAAAAACCAAUCUUGAAUUUUGGUCAAAAUCGCCCGGCCAAAGGCAAGAUACUCUCAAUAGUCCUUGAUCUGAAUAGUCUGUUGUUUUUUACUGUCAAAAAGAUCCAAUGCUUACAAACUACCACCUUCUCCACCAAGGUUUCCGAUGAUUGGAAACCUUCAUCAAGUAAGAGCAUUAGCUCAUCGAUCCUUCUGAGAUCUUUCACAAAAAUAUGGUCCAUUGAUGUUAUUACACUUGUGUCAAUCGCCAACUCUCGUAGUUUCAUCCGUGGAAAUGGUUAUGGAAAUAAUGCAAAACCAAGAUCUUGUCUUUGCAAAUAUACCUUCUACCACCGCUGCAAUUGCGUUACCAUACAGAUGUUCUGAUAUCGCUUUUCCACCUUACGGUGAAUAUUGGAGGCAACUGAGGAAGAUAUGCGUUCAAGAGCUAUUGAGUGUACAGAGCGUUCACUCAUUCAAGAAAAUGAGAGAAGAAGAAGUCGACGCUGUAAUCCAGAUCAUAUCGAAUUUAUGUUCAACAAGGGAAAGAGGAAAAGUAGUAAUUAAUAUUAGUAAAUUACUGCUAACUCUAUCAACCAACAUCAUUUCUAGGUGUGCUCUCGAUGCUAAGUUUGAAAGCAUUCAUGGAAACAAAUUUGGUCAACUGUCAAAAAAACAUUGCGACGUUGCUCGGAGCUUUUAGUUUUGGUGAUUAUUUUCCAUCUCAUGGUUGGAUGGACGAUGUUACUGGAUUAUCUAGUAAGCUUGAGAGGGUGUCCCAAGAACUCGAUGCUUUCUUUGACCAAGUCAUUGACGAGCAUCUCCUUCGUCAUUCUGAAUCCCAAGAUGGACAGUGCCAAGGAGAGGAUAUUAAUAAACUAGACUUGAUGGAUAUUCUACUCCUUUCUCAGAAGGACAAUCCAAAUGUCUCUUGAAAGAAUAUCAAAGCAAUAAUCCUGCUCAUAAAGAAUGCACUUGCCUACACCUUUACUAUUAAGAGAAUCAUCCAAGAGUUCCCAAAUAGCAGGUUUCGAUAUUCCUCCCCGCAUAAAAGUUUACAUCAAUGCGUGGGAAAUUCAUAGAGAUGCUAAACUAUGGGACGAGCCAGAUGAGUUUCACCCUGAGAGAUUUAUGAACAUCCCGAUCGAAUUUAAGGGCCGAGAAUUGGAAUAUAUUCCAUUUGGGUCCGGAAGAAGAGGGUGUCCAGGAAUAUCAUUUGGCAUCACAGUUGUUGAAUACAUUCUUGCCAAUCUCUUGUACUACUUUGAUUGGGAACUUCCUGCUGGUGACAAAAGAGAGGGCCUAGACAUGACUGAAACUUCUGGCCUUACAGUUCAUAAGAAAAUUCCGACAAUAUACACAUCACCUUGCACCAUCCA